rnacentral:rRNA from 1 species
CACGUAGGGUGCGAGCGUUGUCCGGAAUUAUUGGGCGUAAAGAGCUCGUAGGCGGUGUGUCGCGUCGGCCGUGAAAACCUGUGGCUUAACUAUGGGCUUGCGGUCGAUACGGGCAUCACUGGAGUUCGGCAGGGGAGACUGGAAUUCCUGGUGUAGCGGUGAAAUGCGCAGAUAUCAGGAGGAACACCGAUGGCGAAGGCAGGUCUCUGGGCCAUAACUGACGCUGGAGAAGCGAAAAGCAUGGGGAGCAACAGG